UUAAGGAUACUGGGAGAGUGAUACCAGGAAAAUAACCUCUCACUCAACAUCAACAAAACAAAGGAGCGGAUUGUGGUUUUCAGGAAACAGCACACCCAUAUCCACAUCGACAGGACAGCAGUGGAGAAGGUGGAAAGCUUCAAGUUCCUCUGCGUACACAUCACUGACGAUCUGAAAUGGUCCACCCACACAGACAGUGUGGUGAAGGCGGUGCAACAGCGCCUCUUCAACCUCAGGAGGCAGAAGAAAUUUGGCUUGGCCCCGAAAACCCUCAGACUUUUACAGAUGCACACUUAAGAGCAUCCUAUCGGGCUGUAUCACCGCCUGGUACGGCAACUCCUCCGCCCGCAAUCGUAGGGUUCUCCAGGGGGUGGUGCGUUCUGCCCAACGCAUCACUGGGGGCAAACUACCUGCCCUCCAGGACAGCUACAGCACCCGAUGUCACAAGAAGGCCAAAAAGAUCAAGGACAUCAACCACCCGAGCCACUGCCUGUUCACCCCUCCAUCAUCCAGAAGGCGAGGACCAUACCUCAGGACUACCUGGCCUUAUGACUCCAUCUGUCCCCAGUCCACCUGGCCGUGCUGCUGCUCCAGUUUCAACUGUUCUGCAUGCGGCUAUGGAACCCUGACCUGUUCACCGGACGUGCUACCUGUCCCAGACGUGUUUUCAACUCUCUAGAGACAGCAGGAGCGGUAGAGAUACUCUGAAUGAUCGACUAUGAAAAGCCAACUGACAUUUACUCCUGAGGUGCUGACCUUUUGCAUCCUCGACAACCACUGUGAUUAUUAUUAGCAUUAUUAUUAUUAUUAGACCCUGCUGGUCAUCUAUGAACAUUUAAACAUCUUGGCCAUGUUCUGUUAUAAUUUCCACCCGGCACAGCCAGAAGAGGAAUGGCCACCCCUCAUAGCCUGGUUCCUCUCUAUGUUUCUUCCUUGGGAGAUUUUCCUAGCCACCGUGCUUCUAUACCUGCAUUGCUUGCUGUUUGGUAUUUUAUGCUGGGUUUCUGUACAGUACUUUGAGAUAUCAGCUGAUGUAAGGGCGGCUUUAUAAAUAAAUUUGAUUUUGUCAAGGA